AACGAACGCUGGCGGCAGGCUUAACACAUGCAAGUCGAACGCCCCGCAAGGGGAGUGGCAGACGGGUGAGUAACGCGUGGGAACGUGCCCUCCGCUUCGGAAUAGCCCCGGGAGACUGGGAGUAAUACCGAAUACGCCGUAUUGGGAAAGAUUUAUCGGCGAAGGAUCGGCCCGCGUUAGAUUAGCUAGUUGGCGGUGUAAUGGACCACCAAGGCUACGAUCUAUAGCUGGUCUGAGAGGAUGAUCAGCCACACUGGGACUGAGACACGGCCCAGACUCCUACGGGAGGCAGCAGUGGGGAAUCUUGGACAAUGGGCGCAAGCCUGAUCCAGCCAUGCCGCGUGAGUGAAGAAGGCCUUAGGGUUGUAAAACUCUUUCGCCGGAGAAGAUAAUGACGGUAUCCGGAGAAGAAGCCCCGGCUAACUUCGUGCAGCAGCCGCCGUAACAC
rnacentral:rRNA from 1 species